CAGCAGCCGCGGGAAUACGAAGGGGGCUAGCGUUGCUCGGAAUGACUGGGCGUAAAGGGCGCGUAGGCGGCGAUCAAAGUCAGGCGUGAAAUUCCUGGGCUCAACCUGGGGGCUGCGCUUGAUACUUGGUUGCUUGAGUGGGGAAGAGGGUCGUGGAAUUCCCAGUGUAGAGGUGAAAUUCGUAGAUAUUGGGAAGAACACCGGUGGCGAAGGCGGCGACCUGGUCCUUGACUGACGCUGAGGCGCGAAAGCGUGGGGAGCAAACAGGAUUAGAUACCCCAGUAGUCCCUGUCUCUUAUAC
rnacentral:rRNA from 1 species